GCACACACAAAUCAGUUCACUAUCAUUAAAGAGACUCAAUGGGGUGAUCGAUUCUUUUGGAAUUCCUUUCACUAUGAGCAGGAUGUACAAAGAACCAAUGUUUCUUUCAUUUCUCACAAUAUGUACAUAAUUGUUAACUACAUACAAGUAAACUAUAACCUUCGCAGUAUAUGCGGGAUGAAACAAGCAUAUUUUGUAAACAACGUCAACCUGGAGCUGUAACUGAAGCUGUAGUGUAGGUAGGAUUCUGAAUAUUUAUGCUUCAUUAAAAUUAUCUGGCAUCUCAGACCUGUCCUCUUCAAGCAAUGGCUCCAUGCUCGCUUUCGCGGAGACUUGAUUUUCCCCAUCCUCAUUAAACAUGUCCACACUCUUCAGAAAAACCCCUAUAAACCAUAUUGCAGCGGCAAGAAACAGCACAGCUGUUAGAAUAAGUGCUGUUUCCCUCCAAUUGUUGAUGUUAUCCUGUAGGACCCCAACAAGUGGGGAAGAAGGUACAUCACCAAAUAUGUGGAUUGAUACAGUUGAGAUAGCCAUAGAUAAGGGUCUCAAACCAGGUUUGACACAAUGCAGACACACAAAAUUAACUGGAGCCUGAGUAGCAAAGACAAGUAGUUCACCUACAGAAAACAGGACUAUGAAACCAAACAAGCUCCUUAGACAGAAUGCACUGAAGCAAAAGAUUGCACCCAGAAAUGUUGCUCCAGAUAGAAGCUUAAAAGCAUUAGAGAUUGUAGCAUUCAUGCGAUCAAGUAUGAAGCCUCCGGCUAAAGUUCCCAAAAUUCCACAAACAAUUGUAAUCCCUCCAAACAUCAUGUCUGCAUUACUCUAUCAAAAGCCUCAAAACUAAAUGAUUACAUCACCAACACCACAACAGCCAAUUAAACUAAGCAAUUGAUGGGCCCCUAUCGGAAGGGGGAAAAUCAUCAAAUGAAAAUAAGGCAAAACGAGAAUUAGUAGUUAACAAUACCAUAUGAUAAAUAUUAUAACCAGCUUUUGGUCCCCAGUAUGAGUAUGCUCCAAUAACAAAGUUGUACGAUAUAUAACCUAGAACAUUUACAACAUAAACUCUGUCAAGCAACAGCACUUCAAUAUCCUUUGAAACUUGUGAUAACUGCUGUAAAAUUUUAGCUUUGCCCUUCAACUUUGAGCCUUUAACAGAUGCUUGACUAUUGAUACCUUCAUUAUCAUCCUCUUCAGUUAUAGAAGCAACUGUUUCUAUUGAUGUCAAUACCUCCUUUGAUUCAGCAGGAGCAAAACCUUUCAGUGUCAAAGGUUUCAUGACGAAUCCUAGAAUAGCAAAUGGAAGCAUCAGAAAUGCUUCUCCCCAAAAUGCGUAGCGCCAAUUAAAAUGGUUUCCAACAAAUCCACCAUAAACAUAACCCAAUGCAACUCCAGUUGGUAUGCACAUGUAAAAUGUAGCAAGCCAGGCUGUUUUCUGAGCAACAGGAGCAUUGUCAUCUAUAAAUGGAGCCGCAAGACUUAUGAAAGAAGCCUCACCAACACCAACCAGCAUUCGGCAUAUUGCAAUAGACCAAAAAUCAAAUGAACUACCACACCCAGCUGUUGCAAAUGUCCAAACGGAUAAUCCAACUCCAAUUAGCCUAAAAGGAUUAUGACUUUUAGCCAAGGAAGCAAAUAUUGGAGAAGCCACAAGAAGUCCAACCAUAAAAGCAGAUGAUAGAACACCAUCCUGGAAAUUGUUCAAGUCGAAAUCCCCCUGAAUUCCACUACCGGAAUUGCAAAUUCCCUUUUCAUCACAAGUCCUAAUACUCCCAUUAACUCCAUUGCUUGCUAUUGCACCACGAUCCACAUAAUUUAACAUAUUAAUCACACAAAAAAUCAUAAGCAACCUUCUGGGAGUGAACCAUGAAGGAGUGGGAGGUGAGUGCGUGAUCGAGGUCCGAGCCAUUACGGAGGAGAUUGAGGUUGUUUCCGAUUGAACGAUUGACUUGGCCUUCUUGCAUACAAUAAUUUAACGUUGAGGACCUUGAAUUCUUGAGGUUUUAGCUGAAUUAAUAAGGUUCCAUUUGUCUGGUUUAUUACGAAAUCAUCCUUCGCCCGUCUUUUUUCCCCUUCAACCAAACGUCUGCAUUGCUUCUUUUCAUUUCUAACGUAUUUUUACAUCUGAUUUUGG
rnacentral:misc_RNA from 1 species